GACGGGACCCGCACAAGCAGCGGAGCAUGUGGUUUAAUUCGAAGCAACGCGAAGAACCUUACCAGAUCUUGACAUCCAAUUGACCAUUCUUUUAAUCGAGUAUUUUGCCUUCGGGUACAAUUGAGACAGGUGGUGCAUGGUUGUCGUCAGCUCGUGUCGUGAGAUGUUGGGUUAAGUCCCGCAACGAGCGCAACCCUUGUGUUUAGUUGCAAACAGGUCAAGCUGUGCACUCUAGACAGACUGCCGUGGACAACACGGAGGAAGGUGGGGAUGACGUCAAAUCAUCAUGCCCCUUAUGAUCUGGGCUACACACGUGCUACAAUGGCCGGUACAACGGGCAGCGAAGGAGCGAUCCGGAGCGAAUCCUAAAAAGCCGGUCCCAGUUCGGAUUGCAGGCUGAAACUCGCCUACAUGAAGUUGGAGUUGCUAGUAAUCGCGAAUCAGAAUGUCGCGGUGAAUGCGUUCCCGGGUCUU
rnacentral:rRNA from 1 species